GUCUGGCUCAGGCUGGGGCCAGCGGGAGCGCGAACGAGCGACGGCGGUACCCGUGGGCCUGUGGACUGCAGCCUCGGCGGUCACCAGAGUGCUUGUGAUUUCACGUAUUUUUGCUGAACUCGUAAAAGAGACACUUGGAUGGUGGAUUAACCAGAACACUAACAUUCUUUGAAAAGUUUCAAAUUGGAGAAUAUUGAAUUUUCACCCUAGUCCAGCAGCUCCGCUGCUCACUUAAAUACAGAUGAAUGAAGACCCCAUUCGGAAAGACACCUGGCCAGCGGUCCAGAGCUGAUGCAGGCCAUGCUGGAGUAUCUGCCAACAUGAUGAAGAAGAGGACAUCCCACAACAACAUCUCGAAUCAGCGAUGCACACUUGGCAGACACAAUGAUUGGCAAAGCAGUGGAACAUAUGUUUGAGACAGAGGAUGGUUCUAAAGAUGAGUGGAGGGGAAUGGUCUUAGCACGUGCACCUGUCAUGAACACAUGGUUUUACAUUACCUAUGAGAAAGACCCUGUCUUGUACAUGUACCAACUCUUAGAUGAUUACAAAGAAGGCGACCUUCGCAUUAUGCCUGAUUCCAAUGAUUCACCUCCAGCAGAAAGGGAACCAGGAGAAGUUGUGGACAGCCUGGUAGGCAAACAAGUGGAAUAUGCCAAAGAAGAUGGCUCGAAAAGGACUGGCAUGGUCAUUCAUCAAGUAGAAGCCA
rnacentral:sRNA from 1 species